GGAAGAGUGGGUGAGUGGUUUAAACCAGGCGGUUGCUAACUGUCCGUAGGCGUAAAGUUUACCGAGAGUUCGAAUCUCUCCUCUUCCGCCA
rnacentral:tRNA from 1 species